rnacentral:sRNA from 1 species
UUCACCGAUACUCCACAGACCGCCAGUGGCACGUCCCUCACUUUGAGAAGAUGCUCUAUGACCAGGCACAGCUCGCUGUGGCCUAUUCGCAGGCCUUCCAGAUCUCUGGCGAUGAAUUCUACUCUGAUAUGGCCAAAGGCAUCCUGCAGUACGUGGCUCGGAGCCUGAGCCACCGGUCUGGAGGCUUCUAUAGCGCUGAGGAUGCAGACUCGCCCCCAGAGCGGGGCAUGCGGCCCAAAGAGGGCGCCUACUAUGUGUGGACGGUCAAAGAGGUUCAGCAGCUCCUCCCGGAGCCUGUGCUGGGUGCCACCGAGCCGCUGACCUCAGGCCAGCUCCUGAUGAAGCACUACGGCCUCACGGAGGCUGGUAACAUCAGCCCCAGUCAGGUGAGGACUUCUGGGGUCACCUGACGGGCCCUGGUGCCUGCCUGCCAGGCAUGUGAGCUCGCAGACAAAGGCCAUUCUCCUCAGGACCCCAAGGGGGAGCUGCAGGGCCAGAAUGUGCUGACCGUCCGGUACUCGCUGGAGCUGACUGCUGCCCGCUUUGGCUUGGAUGUGGAGGCCGUGCGGACCUUGCUUAAUACAGGGCUGGAGAAGCUCUUCCAGGCCCGGAAGCAUCGGCCCAAGCCACACCUGGACAGCAAGAUGCUGGCUGCCUGGAAUGGCUUGAUGGUGUCAGGCUAUGCUGUGACUGGGGCUGUCCUGGGCCAAGACAGGCUGAUCAACUAUGCCACCAAUGGUGCCAAGUUCCUGAAGCGGCACAUGUUUGAUGUGGCCAGUGGCCGCCUGAUGCGGACCUGCUACACCGGCUCUGGGGGGACUG